rnacentral:tRNA from 1 species
AUUGCGAAAGCUCAGCUGGUAGAGCAUCUGCCAGGUACGCAGAGAGUGGCCGGUUCGAUUCCGGCUUGCGGAG